rnacentral:rRNA from 1 species
UGCGUAGGCGGCCAGAUCAGUCAGGCGUGAAAGUUUUCGGCUUAACCGGAAAAUUGCGUUUGAUACUGUUUGGCUAGAAUCAGGAUGAGGUUGGCGGAAUGUGGCAUGUAGCGGUGAAAUGCAUAGAUAUGCCAUAGAACACCGAUUGCGAAGGCAGCUGGCUGGACCUGAAUUGACGCUGAGGCACGAAAGUGUGGGGAGCGAACAGGAUUAGAUACCCUGGUAGUC